AUGGAAGAGAGCUGCAUCUUUCUCUUCCUCCUGUCAGUAACUGCAGGUGUCCACUCCCAGGGUCAGCUGCAGCAAUCUGAAGCUGAGCUGGUCAGGCCUGGGGCUUCAUUGAAGAUGUCCUGUAAGGCUUCUGGCUACACAUUCACUGACUAUCGAAUGCACUGGGUGAAGCAGAGGCUUGGGGAGGUCCUGGAAUGGAUCGGAUCUAUUGAUCCUAGAAGUGGUUAUACUGAAUACAAAGAGAAGUUCAAGGGCAAGGUCACAUUGACUACAGACAAAUCCUCCAGCACAGCCUACAUGGAGCUCAUCAGUCUGACCUCUGAGGACUCUGCGACCUAUUACUGUACAAGACACAGUGUUGUAACCACAUCCUGA